rnacentral:rRNA from 1 species
ACCGGAGUGGACGAACCUCUGGUGUUCCGGUUGUCACGCCAGUGGCAUUGCCGGGUAGCUAUGUUCGGAAUAGAUAACCGCUGAAAGCAUCUAAGCGGGAAAGUAGC